rnacentral:lncRNA from 1 species
ACGCUCUUGCCACGCCUCCAAUUUUUUUUAAUAGGAAGGACCAGAAUGUUCUCUCUCCAGUCAACUGCUGGAACCUCCUCUUAAACCAGGUGAAGCGGGAGAGCAGGGAUCAUACCACCCUGAGUGACAUCUACCUGAAUAAUAUAAUUCCUCGAUUUGUUCAAGUCAGCGAGGACUCAGGAAGACUCUUUAAAAAGAGUAAAGAAGUUGGCCAGCAACUCCAGGAUGACUUGAUGAAGGUCCUGAACGAGCUUUAUUCGGU